UUUUCAUUCAAUUUCUACAAACUAAUUCGAAUUUAUUUAGAUAAUGUUUAGAUGAAUCAGUUUUGUAUUAAAACACAUUGUUCGUAGUAAGGCAAACGGUAGGUAAACGAAAGCAGUUAUUUUGUCACCUUGAUGACAUAACUUUCAUCUAAACAAUUUUAUUAAUUGGAAUUGAAUUCAAUACUAAGAAACAUUUGUAUAAGCAAAGAAACCAGACAAACAAAUAAAAGUAAAAUAAGAUACGCG
rnacentral:lncRNA from 1 species